ACCUAACCCUAGUUAGUAAUAAUAGUGUUAAUAAGAAACUCAAUUUAGUAAUAAUAGUGUUAAUAAGAAACUCAAUUUGGUGAGUGUCAUUUUAGUAAAUUUAGGAAUUGUAUGAAAUGCACAUGUUUAUAUAAGAGCACCCAUAGUGAGAGAAACCAAAGUCUGUCCUUUUCAAUUCUUUCUCUGCUUCGUUGACAGCACAACACACCAAUUCCAUCUUCCAUUCUUCAAGUUCACUCAUCCAAACAUGCAUGUGGGUUAAACUCCAUCAUAGCCUUAUUUUGAAUCAAAUGGAAACAAGUUCAAAGAGUAAAACAAUCUCUCUUCUCACCUUGGCCGAACCAAAGCCUCCAUCUUAAAUUCCAACCCAUUUCAUGAUUAGAUCUAAAACUUCUACCAACGAAGGCUAUGGGAGAAAUUUCUAGUGAUUCAAGGUAAGUAUAAGCAAGGUAAGAGCCAUAAAUCCUAUUUUCUUCCUUCUAUUCAAGUUAAAUCUCAAAACCCCAAUCUUUAUGCCUUCUCUUUUGGUUGGUGCAUGUGACAAAUUGAGUAACCACAAGUUGAUGGAAGAUAAGGGAAAUCAAGUUGAGAGCCUCGUGUGAAUCAAUUUUAAGAACAAGGUAGUUUUUGAAAAGGUUGGAGGAGCUUGGGUCAAACCCGUAUUCUAGAACAGGGCUCUACUAAAACGGUAACUGCUCCUUCUGUGUAACUCUGAUGUAAAUUCCGCUUGAUGAUAUGGAAAGCUAACAAAAUUCCCUUCGAUUUGAGUACACACUUCGUAGGUUUUAGCUUAAUAUUGAAGUCUAUAGACGAGAUUGAAGUUAGGGUACUGUUGCUGCAAAUUGUUCAGAAAACUGGAUGCGAGUUUAGUGUGUUGCAGCUGUAAAUUUCGUCUUUUGACGAGUCCGGGAGCUGUCGAUGACAUUUCACAGUAAAGGGUUUCAAUGACAAAGUUCAAAGUUGGAAAUAAAACUACAGACUAGGAUCAAAUCAAAGAAUGAGCUUGUUGGAGAGAACUAAAAGUGGGAGCUUGGUACUAUCGUUGUGAUGCUCAAUUGUUGAGAAAGCUUCCAAUUUUAAAAGAUAAACAGAUUGAUCGAGAUAUCAUGGUCUGCAAGCAUGGAGUUCAGAUACUUGGAUUAUGCUAGUUGAGCUGACGUCAUGUUGUCUUAUAUUUUGUAUAAGAUUUAGUUUCUUUAUGUUUUUAGUUGUUAGCUCAAUUUAGUAUUAAUCUCUUGGAUUUUGUAAUCCUAUUUAUUUAUUUCAGACGAUAUGUAAUGAAAAUUUAGUGUUUCCCGAUUCAAUUAUGUACACUCUUGUUGAUAUUCUAGAUAAAUUGACAUGAGGUGUUAUAAUUGGUAUCAGAGCCUGGUUGAUUCAGUAUCGGACCAUGCCGCGGAUCAUUAAAAUUCAAUCCAAAGUAGUACGGACCCUUUGGAGUCUUGACUGUUUACGCUGAAAUCAUCGCGUGCUGAGCCCGAUCAACUCAGUGUCGUGUAUGGUAGGCAGGGUAUUACGGCUGAGAACCGAAGUGGACCAAGGAGGUCGAGUAGUAUGAACGGAGGUCGUUAGAAGCGGAUAUUGUGACUGCAGUAGGUCGACGCCACAAGAGUAAGUUCAGUAACGCCAACAAGUGGCGCGCAGAAUUGGGAAAAGUAUGUGGCGUAAUGCCAGUAGUAAGAGGCAUGUCAAGAGAUGCACGAACCGAAUACGCUCAACUGACAGUAGCAUUUAUAAGAAUGUGGAGAAUUUUGGGAAUGGAAAAUUCAGUAUAAAAGUAAGUUUUUGAUCGGAGUAGAACCGAGACUGAGUAUGGAAGUACGAGGACUGUAAAAUUAUAGUAGGCCUGAUGGGCGCAUUAAUACAGAUGAUGAAAUUAUGAGAACGGCGCGCAGUAUAUUGAAGUGUUGUACACCAGUAAUAUCCAACCGGGAAAUAUGUAUUAUGUGAAACUAAUUACAAGAAGCACCUUAAUUCAAAUAAGACUUAUCAAAAGUUAGUGAAUCAACUCUUUCAAAUCCGUCAAACCUUCAUUUCAACUCGGUAGUUUUUCCCAAGUGACAUAGGUCAACUAAUUACACUAUCGGAGAAAGGCAAACUAGACUUCAUGCAAUCCCUUAAUUUCUAAUGUCAGCCUGUUGUUCCAUUCUAGUAUAAUGAGAAACACUAAACGCCCCAGCAAGAUAACUUCAGUCUCUCAGUUCGUAACUAGUAUCCUAGCCAGACUAGUAGCCACCAAGUUUCAUUUAGAGUAACAAUUGAAAUUUAAUUCUAAUGCUAUCAGUCACCUAAGCCGACAUAUUAAAUGUCAUUAUCAUGUGAUUCAGGAACAAGUAGCGCAGUUCAGUUAUGACUUCAACAAGUUGACAGUUUAUCAGCUAAGUUCUAAUGAGAAUUAGUCUGACCUAGUUCCAAAGAAUAGUCAGUUUAGAGAAUCAUGGAGUAUGAACAUUACGUUUCCCGAGCCUAUCUAAUAUCGAUAUAGAGAGAUAAAUUUUUCCGGUACUUGAGACCUAUCACUUACAUUUAGUGUAAGAAUUUAAUUAAGUUGGGAACUUUCUAAACUCCUUAAUAUCAGCGAAUUAAACGCACAUUUAGAGUGUUAUCCUUAUGUAACUUUGACGAAAUAUCUUCAGCUUUCUAGCUUUGUUAUCAGUAAUCAGUUCAGGCCUUUGUAAGUUUGAAUUUUUUUGCUUUUGUUUUUGUUUUUGUUAAGAGUAAUAAGUUAUGAUCCUUUUAAGAACUAGUUAUUCAUGUUGACCUUCAAAGCAGUAACCUUAUGUUUAACACCAAGAAAAUUCUCCAAUCUUUUAGUUUCAUUACCGAUGAACGGUUCAUAACCACAGAAGUCUAUUUAGCAAUUAGGGGUCACGAGUAAUUUAAGUUUAAACUCUCGCUUGUUUGUUAACUAACCUGUCAAGCGGCACGGUUAAGGUACCAUGAAUGUUGGAAACGUUACUGCAAUCAAUUCAGUUCACUUUUUUUUUUUAUAAGGUCUUACCAACUCAAUUCGGAUUAAAAUCCAAAACCAUUCUAAGUUAUAAGAAUAGUAUCAAGAUUAGUGCUAUGGUGCGAACCUCCCAAUUCCAUUCGCCGUAACCAAUGUAAGCCUGGAAGUGUUAGCCAAUGAACAUGAGUAUUUCUUUGGAAAACCAUCGGAUAUCUUUGUGACUGAUUAAUUAACAUUAUCAAGCAACCCAGAGUCGGGCAACUUAAUUAGUAGUAGUAUCACCAUCCGUAACCCAAGACAAUUGUGUUUGACCUUUCCGUAACAAUCAGUUUAUUUCAGCCCACUCUCUAUUGCAAGACCACAUCAGACAAUUCUGUCAAAACCCAAACCUUAAUUUAAUGAAGUUAAGGACUUGUAUCCGAAGGUAUAGAAUCAUAAGCUAUGUGACAAGGAAAUUUUUAGAUCAGUCGGUUUAAAUAUUCAACGCUUGUACUUUAAGAUAACCUCUUAACAUCAGCCAACAUCUCAUGUUUUUGUGUAUACGCCAACCAGGCUGGAUACCGACCUAAUGAAAUUUGUUAAGUGAUAGAGGAUUGACUGUAGAUGAGGUCGGUGAAGUGAUAAGUUAGACAGUAACCGACUUUCGAAGAAUAAACGAAUGCUAGGAAUUGGUAUUAUGAGAUAGCUGUAAACAGUACUAGUUGACGUAUCGCGGACAUGUAAGAUUAUGGUAGAAUGUUAAGUAUGUGGUGGUGCGUUUGACGUCACGAUGUGAUGUAAGUAUUAUUUUGUGAUAUCUAUGGUACAAAAGUAAUAACAAAAGAAGUAACAACGGAUAAAACAAGACGAUGUGUGGCAUUGCCCGGAAUUUGUAGACCAAGGUUGUAAUGACGCAGUCAGAAGAUGACUAUAAGUAGUUAAGAUCAGAGUGCGCAGCAGGUAUUGAUUGAAAAUGUUUUCAACAGAUUGGCUUGUAGGCCAACAACUCUUUGAGAGAGGAAAGUUUUAUUCCAAGGAAUUGGAUGUGGAAAACCAUAAGAUGAUUAAAGAACAUAUAACGAGUAAGUUACAUAUAUGUUCAUGUGUGAUCCUAGGAUUGUUAGUAAUGGAGUACCCUUGGGAGUAGGGAUUGCGAAGGGAAACGGUUCAACUCAGAAGUUUGACGCGGUGAACUAGCAAGAUUAAAAAUGUUCUAGUGUUGAAGUGAAGAGUACAGGAAAAGAAAAUGUUGCGCCAUGAAUGGUUGUAUUAAGGAAAAAUAUCGGUAAGAGCCACCUCUAAAAGUUGUAUUAUGGGCUGAGAUUAUGAGUUCGAUGUCAUGAAAUGGGAGAGUAGGAUUUCCAAAAGUAACAUAAGCAACUACUAAUGCAAUGAAGAGUGAUGAUUAGUGAUCCUUGAACGACGAAUUGUGAUCGGUUAAGAGGUAAGUUGAGAAUUUGGACGAGGAUAUAGACAAGUUACUUGGUGAUGAAUGAAGCAUUUCUUGAAUUUCGCGGACGAAAUUCUUUUAAGGGGGGUAGAUUGUAACAACCUAACCCUAGUUAGUAAUAAUAGUGUUAAUAAGAAACUCAAUUUAGUAAUAAUAGUGUUAAUAAGAAACUCAAUUUGGUGAGUGUCAUUUUAGUAAAUUUAGGAAUUGUAUGAAAUGCACAUGUUUAUAUAAGAGCACCCAUAGUGAGAGAAACCAAAGUCUGUCCUUUUCAAUUCUUUCUCUGCUUCGUUGACAGCACAACACACCAAUUCCAUCUUCCAUUCUUCAAGUUCACUCAUCCAAACAUGCAUGUGGGUUAAACUCCAUCAUAGCCUUAUUUUGAAUCAAAUGGAAACAAGUUCAAAGAGUAAAACAAUCUCUCUUCUCACCUUGGCCGAACCAAAGCCUCCAUCUUAAAUUCCAACCCAUUUCAUGAUUAGAUCUAAAACUUCUACCAACGAAGGCUAUGGGAGAAAUUUCUAGUGAUUCAAGGUAAGUAUAAGCAAGGUAAGAGCCAUAAAUCCUAUUUUCUUCCUUCUAUUCAAGUUAAAUCUCAAAACCCCAAUCUUUAUGCCUUCUCUUUUGGUUGGUGCAUGUGACAAAUUGAGUAACCACAAGUUGAUGGAAGAUAAGGGAAAUCAAGUUGAGAGCCUCGUGUGAAUCAAUUUUAAGAACAAGGUAGUUUUUGAAAAGGUUGGAGGAGCUUGGGUCAAACCCGUAUUCUAGAACAGGGCUCUACUAAAACGGUAACUGCUCCUUCUGUGUAACUCUGAUGUAAAUUCCGCUUGAUGAUAUGGAAAGCUAACAAAAUUCCCUUCGAUUUGAGUACACACUUCGUAGGUUUUAGCUUAAUAUUGAAGUCUAUAGACGAGAUUGAAGUUAGGGUACUGUUGCUGCAAAUUGUUCAGAAAACUGGAUGCGAGUUUAGUGUGUUGCAGCUGUAAAUUUCGUCUUUUGACGAGUCCGGGAGCUGUCGAUGACAUUUCACAGUAAAGGGUUUCAAUGACAAAGUUCAAAGUUGGAAAUAAAACUACAGACUAGGAUCAAAUCAAAGAAUGAGCUUGUUGGAGAGAACUAAAAGUGGGAGCUUGGUACUAUCGUUGUGAUGCUCAAUUGUUGAGAAAGCUUCCAAUUUUAAAAGAUAAACAGAUUGAUCGAGAUAUCAUGGUCUGCAAGCAUGGAGUUCAGAUACUUGGAUUAUGCUAGUUGAGCUGACGUCAUGUUGUCUUAUAUUUUGUAUAAGAUUUAGUUUCUUUAUGUUUUUAGUUGUUAGCUCAAUUUAGUAUUAAUCUCUUGGAUUUUGUAAUCCUAUUUAUUUAUUUCAGACGAUAUGUAAUGAAAAUUUAGUGUUUCCCGAUUCAAUUA